rnacentral:rRNA from 1 species
GACGAACGCUGGCGGCGUGCUUAACACAUGCAAGUCGAACGGAAAGGCCCUGCUUUUGUGGGGUGCUCGAGUGGCGAACGGGUGAGUAACACGUGAGUAACCUGCCCUUGACUUUGGGGUAACUUCAGGACACUGGGGCUAAUACCGGAUAGGAGCUCCUGCUGCAUGGUGGUGGUAGGAAAGUUUCGGCGGUUGGGGAUGGACUCGCGGCUUAUAAGCUUGUUGGGGGGGGAGUGGCUUACCAAGGCUUUGACGGGUGGCCGGCCUGGGGGGGGGACCGGCCAAAUUGGGCCUGGGAAAGGGCCAGGACUCCAAGGGGGGGCAGCAGUGGGGAAUUUGGAACAUUGGGCGGAAGCUGGUGCAGGCACCGCGGGUGGGGGGAGGCCGGCUUCGGGGUGGAAACCCGCUUCGCCCGGGGACGAAGCGUGUGUGACGGUAACUGGUAAAGAAGCACCGGCUAACUACGUG